AUUGAACGCUGGCGGUAGGCUUAACACAUGCAAGUCGUGCGAGAAAGUAUCUUCGGAUAUGAGUAGAGCGGCGGACGGGUGAGUAACGCGUAGGAAUCUACCUAGUAGAAGGGGAUAGCCCGGGGAAACCCGGAUUAAUACCGUAUACCUCCUUCGGGAGAAAGAAGGCCUCUCUUUGAAGCUUUCGCUAUUAGAUGAGCCUGCGUAAGAUUAGCUUGUUGGUGAGGUAAAGGCUCACCAAGGCGACGAUCUUUAGCUGGUCUGAGAGGACGAUCAGCCACAUUGGGACUGAGACACGGCCCAGACUCCUACGGGAGGCAGCAGUGGGGAAUAUUGGACAAUGGGCGCAAGCCUGAUCCAGCCAUACCGCGUGUGUGAAGAAGGCCUUCGGGUUGUAAAGCACUUUAAGCAGGGAGAAAAAGUUAUAAGUUAAUACCUUAUAACCGUGAUGUUACCUGCAGAAUAAGCACCGGCUAAUUCCGUGCCAGCAGCCGCGGUAAUACGGAAGGUGCAAGCGUUAAUCGGAAUUACUGGGCGUAAAGCGCGCGUAGGUGGUUUGUUAAGUUGGAUGUGAAAGCCCUGGGCUCAACCUAGGAACUGCAUCCAAAACUAACUCACUAGAGUACGAUAGAGGGAGGUAGAAUUCAUAGUGUAGCGGUGGAAUGCGUAGAUAUUAUGAAGAAUACCAGUGGCGAAGGCGGCCUCCUGGAUCUGUACUGACACUGAGGUGCGAAAGCGUGGGUAGCGAACAGG
rnacentral:rRNA from 1 species